rnacentral:rRNA from 1 species
CCUACGGGAGGCAGCAGUGGGGAAUAUUGCACAAUGGGGGAAACCCUGAUGCAGCGACGCCGCGUGAGUGAAGAAGUAUCUCGGUACGUAAAGCCCUAUCAGCAGGGAAGAAAAUGACGGUACCUGACUAAGAAGCCCCGGCUAACUACGUGCCAGCAGCCGCGGUAAUACGUAGGGGGCAAGCGUUAUUCGGAUUUACUGGGUGUAAAGGGAGCGUAGACGGGGGUACAAGUCUGGAGUGAAAACCCGGGGCUUAACCCCGGAACUGCUUUGGAAACUGGGGGGCUGGAGUGGAGGAGGGGUAGGCGGAAUGCGUGGUGUAGCGGUGAAAUGCGUAGAUAUUAGGAAGAACCCCGGUGGCGAAGGCGGCUUUCUGGACUGUUACUGACGUUGAGGCACGAAAGCGUGGGGAGCGAACAGGAUUAGAUACCCUAGUAGUC